UGAUGGCAGUGAUGAUCCGCCCGUGUUGCUCUCCUGAAGUAUAAGCCGUGAGGGUUGCACAGUCACUACCUCUUCUGAUGCCAUCU